rnacentral:lncRNA from 1 species
AACCCUUGAAUAUAUUUCUGAAAUUGUCAUAUGUAGGCUACAAAUCUGACAGAAAGCAAUUUGUUUUUUGUCAGCUGACAAAUAGCAAAACUGUAAAUCCGAGCCUAAAAAAUGAAGUAUCUAGAUGUGUUUAGACAAAUCCGUUUCAAGCUUGUUUCUAGCACGGUCCUCCGUAACUCUAGCAACUUCAUGUUUUAUCUGCCCCGGAAGCCGUCGUUUUAACGCAGCCCGUGACAAACAACAAAUUCGAAUUUGCCAGAGUCACGAACGCGAUGGAAGAAGCCCGA